UUGUACCGCUAAGUAUAAUGGACAGCGAGGAGUGAUUUUCUCUCCCUUUGAGAACAUAAGUACACUCUUCUAUAUUUAUACACCCCAUCUCCUAAUUUAGGCAGUGUAGAACUUUUUCUGAUCAGCACUCACUUGCCAAUAAUCUCGCUCUACAUCUAAAUGAAGACUAGGAGUCAUAUAAGUUCACAGAUUGAAUGGAUGGCUGAUUUACAAAGCCCUUAAAAUGUGGCUGCAGGCCGACGCUGGCAACCCCAUAAUUAGAUAUGGCAUGCUCUGCGAUGAUGUAUUUUUUACUGUUUUUUAAUAACUCAGUUCUCCUUCUGGGAUGAGGGGAAAAAUGGAAUUUGUUAAAAAUAAAUCGAGAUUUAGUGGCUUUUCAGCCUUCUGCUGCUUGUUGCUCACAAUAUUCUAUAAAUAAAAGCAGCCCGGCCCUAUAGUGCACUGUAAACACCCACAGACACUCAGAGCCAAAUUCUUCCAAUUAUGACCCUGUGCCAGUUGCCAAGCUACUGCAAGGACCCACUUGAAAGGCGGCCAUCUAGGCCAUCUUCUGAUUAAGCCGCCCUGUGACAAGGAGGAGGGCCUGCCGCUUUGGCACUGUGUCUAGUCUGAGAUAAUUGUUCCGUUUUCUUGAAAUUAAGCCCUUUCCUCGUGAUCGAAUUACAAUUCAGAGGUAGAUGAGAAGCUAACCACCUGUCCAUCCGUCCAUCUGCCUGGGUCACGCGUGUGCCUGAGAUCCUGGGCUGUCACACGCCGGACUUCCAUCAGGCGGCAAAAGUGCCUUCACGACAGCGUCUUUAACUGCACUGAGCAAAUCAAGGUCAAAUAAAAGUGGGUCAGCAAAGAACAUGACAGCCCCAGCCCUGUAAAGGAAACUUCCAUGGUGCGCUGUAGGCCCAAAGCUACAUCUCAGCCUCACAGGGGUCUGACUCCACUGCAUUUGGAGGACCUGCGUCCAAGAGACUUUUCCUUACCAGCUGUGCAACACUCAGACAUUGAAAAUAACAACAUCAAGUACAGAUGCUAGGUGUCACUCAGGCAUUCGGCAUCCGGGAGCACCAGUGUGGGUCAUGCAGCCUCUGGGCAAGAUUCCAAGAGAGGCCUGACGAAUCUCCCUCCAGAACCAAAACCAAACUCAACCAAGACUUAAGAGUCAACAUCAGAAAACUGUGCUCAUUUUUCCCAAAGCCAAAAAAGUCACAGCUAUAUUUGUGCUAAUAACAAUAUCUGCACAUAAACUGCAACUCACAAAGCGCUUUUCUGAAGCACUAGCUCACUCCUCGGAGCCUUUAACUGCAUCGUAGACUUUGUAUCUCGUCCAAAGUCGUCUUACAGUUACUGCUAAUGACACUACUUUUCAAAAGCGACAAUGAUGACAGAUUAUUUGGCAUUUGCUACAUGCCAGGGCUAAGCACAUUUUCAUUUCCCCUUCACGCGAGCCUCACAGAGGUGAUCACGAGGAUCACCAUCCCGUGCGGCAGGGGAGGAAACCGAGGCCUACAGAACUUGGGUGGGCAGUCUGAGUUACACCAUCAGCAGGCACAGAGCUGAAAUACUGGAGCAGGUCUGCUGGGGCCCGUGCUCUAAGCCAAUCUCAAUUUGCUGCUGGCAAGUGUACCCAAGGCGUGGCCAGGGUCCUUCUGCUGCUCCUCCCCCACACCCACUUUCCCUACU